rnacentral:rRNA from 1 species
UGGGGGAUAUUGCACAAUGGGCGAAAGCCUGAUGCAGCGACGCCGCGUGGGGGAUGAAGGCCUUCGGGUUGUAAACUUCUUUUGCUCUGAACAAGGCGCACCAUGGGGUGUGUUGAGUGUAGGGGUUGAUUAGCGCCGGCUAACUACGUGCCAGCAGCCGCGGUAAUACGUAGGGCGCGAGCGUUGUCCGGAAUUAUUGGGCGUAAAGGGCUUGUAGGUGGCUGGUUGCGUCUGUCGUGAAAGCUCAUGGCUUAACUGUGGGUUUGCGGUGGGUACGGGCUGGCUUGAGUGCAGUAGGGGGGGCUGGAAUUCCUGGUGUAGCGGUGGAAUGCGCAGAUAUCAGGAGGAAUACCGGUGGCGAAGGCGGGUCUCUGGGCUGUUACUGACACUGAGGAGCGAAAGCGUGGGGAGCGAACAGG